AUACCUACCUGGCAGGGAGAUACCGUGAUCAGGAAGGUGCUUCACCCAGGGCGAGGUCCAGCCAUCGCACUGCGGCUGUGCUGACCCCUGCCAGUUCCCCAGAUGUGGGAAUCUCCACUGCAUAAUUUCUGGUAGUGGGGGGCUGUGUUUGCGCUCUCGCCUG